CUCUCCUCUCAGUUUGUAUAAACAUUAAUAAUUGCUCUGAUUAUUUUCUCUUUUUUACAUCAGUUGAUUUUGCUAUUAAUACUACUAUGUAAUUUCCGAUUAAGCUUUUUCCCAGUUCCCGCCCUCAUUUAUUAUGACUAGUUAGUUACUAUGUUAUGUUACUUCUUGUACAGUAAUUUAACUGCAAUGGUAUUGCGAUUGUUGCUUUACUCUGUGUGUGCAUUUAUGUCUUGCAAUGUUACUCCACUUGAUUUUAUAGCUACAUAUGCAAAUUUCUGUAUGUGGAGAGUGUACUUUAGGUGCUAAAAUGGGCAAAUUUAUAGCAUCAAAGUCUUUCUAGAAGGGGAUAUCGGUUCAGUGUCUGCUUAAGAUGGCCAACUUCCAGCCGAACAAGUCCAACUUAAGGAAAGGGAAGUUGCUUUUUAAAUGUAAAGUAGCAUUGGAAUAAAGUAGUUUUGCGUCAUUGUUGUUUAUCAUUCAGAAUAUUACUGAAUAGGGAGCUCAAAAAAUUUAAUUGGAAAAACUUUCUCUUCUUUCCUGGAAAGAGGAUCAUUGACUGCUGGGCAUAAUAUGGAGAGGAUCUUCUUAUAACUUAUACAAAUAACUAAUAAGUUUAUUUUGCGGAAGCCAAUCAAGCCAUCUAUGCACAUGAGAUAAACAAGAAGAGAAGGGUGGUCGCACUUCACUUGUUAUGUAUUUUUCAAUUGAAUCACAUAAUGCCCCUCUACCUCGACCUUAUGUAACAUGUGGACUGCACUGAAAUUGGUAACUUUUCUAUCCAUUACAGAGGCAAAAGAAAAUAAGCUUCUCUUCACUAGUUUUUUCUUUGAUCAUUAGUUGUCGUGCUUUCCUUUAUGGUGUCUUUUGCCCCCCAUCUAUCUAUGAUACCGCAGUGGUAAACAUUGCUAGCUAAUAACAUUCUGUUUUAGGAUGUUUCUUAGUUUUUCUUUUCCUUAUUCAUCUUUAUAUCCAGCAGUUAUUACAUGAUUCAGUAGCUUUCCUGCGUGUUUCUUUUCUAAAACUGAAAAGAAACGAUAAGGAAAAUGAAACUGCACAGAAGAAGUUACUGGAAUUUGUGAUUUUGGCAAGAGAAGAGGAUGGAUAUAAGCAAGAUUGAAGUAGCCAGAAAGAUAGAAAAACAUAGCGAGAGAGUUAUUAGAAGGAUGGACUAAGCAGCUUCUGAGCAGCACUCUGGCCUCAUAACUGAGGAAGCUUCAGAUUGCCGUAUAGCAACUGUAUUAGUAACUUCCAACAAUAUUCUCUCACUGUUUACAUUAAAAUGCAGACUUCAAGGCAAAAUUUGGCAUCAUGUGUCAUUGACAGUAAAAAAGAGAACCUUUAAAAGAGCUUGUCUUAGAUCAAAUUCAAGUCAAAGUUGCAGCAUGCCCUGACGAGAAAUCCAAUGGCUUUCAAUAAGAGAGCAUGCAAUGGUGUUGUGAGUUGCUUGAACUUCAUCCAUGCCUUUGAUGCUGCAGCUUGUUUGAUGGAGAGCUUAAGUGUUUGAUUCAGUCCUCUUUGGGUUCAUGCUUUCACACUUGCGGAUCAAUGCAUUUGGAGGUCUACAGAGGAGAUAAUUGAAAGACUUCAAGUGUCUUUCUCUCUUUUUAUCCUCUAUGUGUGCUAUUUGCACAUUCUGUUGGAUGUGAUAUUUCUCAGCUUGUCUAAUAAGGGUUUGUGGAAGGUGGUCCUGAAUUACUUUGGUGUACAGUGGGUGAUUCAGGUAUUGUUAGAGAUGUGCUGCACAACUAGGUUGGUGGACAGGGGUGAAGAAGACAAAGGCAUGGAAGGCUACUUGGUUAGCUCUUAUAUGGGUCGAAUGGAGAGAGAAAUAUGAGAGCUUUUGAGGGGAUUGAAAAUGAUUUUCUACACUUGAGGAAUAGCCUUUUGUCUUUGAUUACUUUUUGGUGCACUCGCAAAAUCCCUACUUGUAUAGACGAAUGGGUGUCUUUCGUAGAGAAUCAUGUUUUGCUGUAGAUUCUCUACUUUUUGGUAUAUCUCUUGUAUCGGGAGCUUUCCCCAUUUUGUUAAUAGUAUCAUUUAUCCUUUCAAAAUAAUACAUAAGGACCAGUCUUACCUCUUCCAAAUACGAACAUAAUUGGUUGUCGUUAGGUCGGUAAAACAAAAAGUGGAAGGCUAUCUUGAGCAAUUUAAAGCUCGUCUAGUAGCUCAAGAAUAUAAACAAUACCAUGUAUUAGACUAUGAUAAGACGUUUAAUCCAGUGGUGAAACCAAUCACCAUCUGCACUGUCCUAACUCUUGCGACAUCUACGUUUUGGUUAAUUCACUAAUUGGAUGUUAUGAAUGCUUUUUAAAUAGCACUCUUAGUAACCUGGUGUACCUGAAACAACCUCUUGUCUUUGUUCACCCAAACAAGCCCCAAGGGUGUUUAAGUUACUGUCAAUUGUUUAAAGGUAUUUUGGCAUGUCAGGUGAUGCGGUCUUGGAUAGCGCAGCUAGCACGGAGCUCAUUGUGGAAGAAUAGAGUAUUUUAGCAUUGUUUCUUGUUUCCUUCUAAAAAUAAGACUUUUUUGUUUUUUUGUUUCCUUUCAUAAGUUAUUUUAGCAUUUCUUUUCAUGAAGGGAGAUGUUGUUUCCUUUUCUUGGUAGGUUUCUGGUUUCCAUAUUAUUAUCCUUGGAGAGCAGAGGCUUUCUGUUACUUAUUUCUAUUAUUUUCUUGUUUUAGUUAUUUUCUUUCUUCACUGGAAUAAGAAUUGUCUUUUCCUAACUUUAUGUAAUAGCUAUAAAUACUUGAUAGACUUAUUUUUUGGAGA